rnacentral:rRNA from 1 species
UACAGAGGGUGCUAGCGUUAAUCGGAAUUACUGGGCGUAAAGCGCACGUAGGCGGCUUGUUAUGUCGGGUGUGAAAUCCCCGGGCUCAACCUGGGAACUGCAUCCGAAACUGCCUUGCUCGAGUAUGGGAGAGGGAAGUGGAAUUUCCGGUGUAGCGGUGAAAUGCGUAGAUAUCGGAAGGAACAUCAGUGGCGAAGGCGACUUCCUGGACCAAUACUGACGCUCAGGUGCGACAGCGUGGGGAGCAAACAGG